UACGGGGGGGCAAGCGUUGUUCGGAAUUACUGGGCGUAAAGGGCUCGUAGGCGGCCAACUAAGUCGGACGUGAAAUCCCUCGGCUUAACCGGGGAACUGCGUCCGAUACUGGAUGGCUUGAGUUCGGGAGAGGGAUGCGGAAUUCCAGGUGUAGCGGUGAAAUGCGUAGAUAUCUGGAGGAAUACCGGUGGCGAAGGCGGCAUCCUGGACCGGC
rnacentral:rRNA from 1 species